UACGUAGGGUGCGAGCGUUGUCCGGAAUUAUUGGGCGUAAAGAGCUCGUAGGCGGCUUGUCGCGUCGGUUGUGAAAGCCCGGGGCUUAACUCCGGGUCUGCAGUCGAUACGGGCAGGCGUAGAGUGUGGUAGGGGAGAUCGGAAUUCCUGGUGUAGCGGUGAAAUGCGCAGAUAUCAGGAGGAACACCGGUGGCGAAGGCGGAUCUCUGGGCCAUUACUGACGCUGAGGAGCGAAAGCGUGGGGAGCGAACAGG
rnacentral:rRNA from 1 species